UGAACGCUGGCGGCGUGCCUAAUACAUGCAAGUCGCGCGAACGGACGAGAAGCUUGCUUUUCUGAUGUUAGCGGCGGACGGGUGAGUAACACGUGGAUAACCUACCUAUAAGACUGGGAUAACUUCGGGAAACCGGAGCUAAUACCGGAUAAUAUUUUGAACCGCAUGGUUCAAAAGUGAAAGACGGUCUUGCUGUCACUUAUAGAUGGAUCCGCGCUGCAUUAGCUAGUUGGUAAGGUAACGGCUUACCAAGGCAACGAUGCAUAGCCGACCUGAGAGGGUGAUCGGCCACACUGGAACUGAGACACGGUCCAGACUCCUACGGGAGGCAGCAGUAGGGAAUCUUCCGCAAUGGGCGAAAGCCUGACGGAGCAACGCCGCGUGAGUGAUGAAGGUCUUCGGAUCGUAAAACUCUGUUAUUAGGGAAGAACAUAUGUGUAAGUAACUGUGCACAUCUUGACGGUACCUAAUCAGAAAGCCACGGCUAACUACGUG
rnacentral:rRNA from 1 species